GUGAGUCCUCGUGAGGAUUUGUUUUUCCCACCUUCUCGUAAUGAUGAUCCAUACUAUGGCCCUGAUCUGCCCGUUUCAGCCAUUGCUGGACUGAAAGGAGAUGAAGCAGAAACAUUUGUGCCUAGAAAUUGUAUUAAGACUUCAGUGCAUCCCACUGCUCACUGCUGGACUGCAACCUCAGAAAUAUACAUGGGCUGUAAAGAAGGAUAUGUUUUGGCAAUUGAUGCUGAGCAAUACAGUGUUUCUGUUCUUCAAGAAAAAGCUCCACCUGAGUUCAUGCAGAAAAUAACAGAUGUGGUGUCCUAUGUUCGUAGAGAAGUGCAGAAAAAGAAAGGUGGCAAACCGAGUGAUCUGCAAAACACAGUUUUACUUGCAAUGGCAUUUUGCAAUGAGGGGCUGUAUGCAGCUGGACAUGAGGGUAUUUUAAUCUUUUAUCACAUCAAAGAUCUGCAAUAUGAGAUAAAAAUCUGUGCUGAUAUCUCACAGCCCAUAUCCAGCCUCAUAUUUUCUCCUGAUUACACCAGUCUGCUGCUUAUCACUGACCAGGUACAACAUUUGAGAUAAGAGCAUUACAUAAUGGGAUAUUCCUGGGAUUCUAUAUGAAUAUGCUGAUACUAUUAGUACAAAAUG
rnacentral:lncRNA from 1 species